rnacentral:rRNA from 1 species
GAUGAACGCUGGCGGCGUGCCUAAUACAUGCGAGUCGAGCGAACAGACGAGGAGCUUGCUCCUCUGACGUUAGCGGCGGACGGUUGAGUAACACUUGGAUAACCUACCUAUAAGACUGGUAUAACUUCGGGAAACCGGAGCUAAUACCGGAUAAUAUCUUGAACCGCAUGUUUCAAUAGUGAAAGACGGUUUUGCUGUCACUUAUAGAUUGAUCCGCGCCGCAUUAGCUAGUUGGUAAGGUAACGGCUUACCAAGGCAACCAUGCGUAGCCGACCUGAGAGGGUGAUCGGCCACACUGGAACUGAGACACGGUCCAGACUCCUACGGGAGGCAGCAGUAGGGAAUCUUCCGCAAUGGGCGAAAGCCUGACGGAGCAACGCCGCGUGAGUGAUGAAGGUCUUCGGAUCGUAAAACUCUGUUAAUAGGGAAGAACAAAUGUGUAAGUAACUAUGCACGUCUUGACGGUACCUAAUCAGAAAGCCACGGCUAACUACGUG